rnacentral:tRNA from 1 species
CAGAUUAUAAUUUAAUAUAAAAUAUUAGCUUUGGAAGCUAACUAUCGGUUCCCCGUAAUCUGA